AAGUCGUAACAAGGUUUCCGUAGGUGAACCUGCGGAAGGAUCAUUAUUGAAUAUUCUUGAUGGGUUGUAGCUGGCUCUUCGGGGCAUGUGCACGCUUGUCUUGACUUUAUUCGUCCACCUGUGCACCUUUUGUAGUCUUGUGGGUUGAGAGCAGUCAACUAUCGGACAGCUAUUACAGCCGCUCCGGAUAUGAGGAAUGCUGAGUGCGAAAGCAUACAACUCUUCUCAACGAUUGCAAUACCUCUCCCUCGAGUACUAUGUAUUCAUAUACCACUUGUAUGUUGUCGAAUGUGAUCAAUGGGCUUAUGUGCCUAUAAUAAUCAUAUACAACUUUCAGCAACGGAUCUCUUGGCUCUC
rnacentral:misc_RNA from 1 species